UGAGUAACGCGUGGGAAUCUACCUAGAAAUGGGGAAUAACUAUUGGAAACGAUAGCUAAUACCGCACAAUCCCUCUGGGGCAAAGGCUUCGGUCGUUUUUAGAUGAGCCCGCGUUAGAUUAGGCUGUUGGUGAGGUAAUGGCUCACCAAACCUGCAAUCUAUAGCUGGUCUGAGAGGAUGAUCAGCCACACUGGGACUGAGACACGGCCCAGACUCCUACGGGAGGCAGCAGUGGGGAAUAUUGGACAAUGGAGGCAACUCUGAUCCAGCAAUGCCGCGUGUGUGAUGAAGGCCUUAGGGUUGUAAAGCACUUUCAACGGUGAAGAUGAUGACGGUAGCCGUAGAAGAAGCCCCGGCUAACUUCGUGCCCAGCAGCCGCGGUAAUACGAAGGGGGCGAGCGUUAUUCGGAAUUAUUGGGCGUAAAGGGCUCGCAGGCUGCUUGAACAGUUAGACGUGAAAAUCCCCGGGCUCAACCUGGGAACUGCGUUUUAAUACUAGCAAAGCUAGAGAAAUAGAGAGGAUAGUGGAAACUCCCCAGUUGUAAGAGGGUGAAAAUUCGUAGAUAUUGGGGAAGAACCACCCAGUGGGCGAAAGCGAAC
rnacentral:rRNA from 1 species